rnacentral:lncRNA from 1 species
UCUUCCUUGGCGUCGUGGACAGAGCCCGCAAGGGUCAAUCCCGCUGAGAACUUCGGCCGUGGGUAUUUUAUACCCAACACUACUCAUACGCUCUGUCUUUUGAGAGGUUGUCGGACAAUUCUUUGAGAGAGAGAAAUUUCAUGGCCUAUCAGAAGAUAGUCUUUUUUUGAAAUUUUUCAUGCUGAGCUGUUUCAGCAUGGUAUCUAUAUACG